rnacentral:misc_RNA from 1 species
GCUUGCAAUCUCCAUAAUCUAGAAAAGCACCCGCCAUAAAAUAAAAUGAACAAGUAACUUUAACACAAGGAAUGAAAAUAAAGAAAAAAAUGGAACAAAGUGAAUAGAAAGGAGUUAAGAGAAAGAUAUUUUGUGCGUGUGUGUUUUGGGUUUUUGGGCUGGGGGGGCCGGGGUGUGUGGGGUGUUUUGGGUUUCUAUAGGCCCCCCUCUAGGAAGGAAAAAAAAA